rnacentral:rRNA from 1 species
AUUGAACGCUGGCGGCAGGCCUAACACAUGCAAGUCGAGUGGAUGAAGGGAGCUUGCUCCUGGAUUCAGCGGCGGACGGGUGAGUAAUGCCUAGGAAUCUGCCUGGUAGUGGGGGAUAACGUCCGGAAACGGGCGCUAAUACCGCAUACGUCCUGAGGGAGAAAGUGGGGGAUCUUCGGACCUCACGCUAUCAGAUGAGCCUAGGUCGGAUUAGCUAGUUGGUGGGGUAAAGGCCUACCAAGGCGACGAUCCGUAACUGGUCUGAGAGGAUGAUCAGUCACACUGGAACUGAGACACGGUCCAGACUCCUACGGGAGGCAGCAGUGGGGAAUAUUGGACAACGGGCGAAAGCCUGAUCCAGCCAUGCCGCGUGUGUGAAGAAGGUCUUCGGAUUGUAAAGCACUUUAAGUUGGGAGGAAGGGCAGUAAGUUAAUACCUUGCUGUUUUGACGUUACCAACAGAAUAAGCACCGGCUAACUUCGUG